CUUUGUGCUGGUAUGCCUGAUGACAAAAGGACAAUAUUAUAUUGAAUAUAGAAAGAUGUAACAAUAUGUUUCAUCAAUAUUCAUUUUUCAUCCAUCUUUUAAUAUUCAGAUGUUACUUUGUUCCUUGCUGUGAACAUGCAUAGCUCAAGAUUUUCUUUAUGUGUAUGAUGGUUAAUGUUGAGUGUCAACUUGAUUGGAUUGAAGAAUACAAAGUAUUUUUCCUGGGUGUGUCUGUGAGGGUGCUGCCAAAGGAGAUUAAUAUUUGAGUCAGUUGACUGGAAAAGGUAGACUCACCCUCAGUCUGGAUGGACACCAUCUAAUCAGCUGCCAGCACGGCUAGAAUAAAGCAGGCAGAAGAAAGUGGAAUGAGGCUUGACGUGCUGAGUCUUCUGGCUUUUAUCUUUCUCCCGUUCUGGAUGCUUCCUGCCCUUGAACAUCAGACUCCAACUUCUUCAGCUUUUGGAAUCUUGGACUUACACCAGUGAUUUGCCAGGGACUCUAAGGCCUUUGGCCACAGACUGAAGGCUCCACUGUCUGCUUCUGUACUUUUGAGGUUUUGAGACUCAGACUGGAUUCCUUGCUCCUCAGCUUGCAGACAGCCUCUUGUGAGACUUCACCUUGUAAUCAUACUCUCUUUUUUGCUGGCUUUGAAGAAGCAUAAUGUCAUCUUGGGGAACCCAAGAAUCUGAGAGAAGUCUCCAACUAAUCAUCAGCUAGGAAUUGGGGUAACCUCUUCCUGGCAACCAGCAAGAAAAUGAGGCCUCCAACCUUACAUCAAAUAAUUGAAUUGUCAUAACUACCAUGUGAGCUUGGAAGUGAAUCCUGCCCCAGUUCUGCCUUGAGAUGAGACUACAUUACCAACCAACACUUCUAUUACAGCCUCAUGAAGCUUUGAAACAGAAGCGCCAACUAAGUUGUAACCAGACUCCUAAUUAACAGAAGCUGUGUGGUAAUAAAUGCAUGCUAUUUUAUGCAAAUAAUUUUGUGGUAACAUUGUUAUGCAACAAUAAAUAAAUAAUGUAAACAAUUUAAGAGUCUAUUCACCAAUUAUCUUCAAUUAUCUUUUCUACUCUGUUUUAUGCAAAGAAUUGGCUAGUAGAUAUCACAGGCUUUGAGGAUGAUAUGUUAUAUCUGGCAACAACUCAACUCUGCUGUUGUUAUGCAGCAGUCAUAGGCAAUACAUACAUAAAUGAGUGUGGCUGUUUUCAAUAUGAGUUUAUUUAGAAAAGCAGGUGAUAAGCUAUAGCUGGUCUUUGAGCCAUGGCUUGCUAAUUCUAGGUCUAAAACUACCAGAUAAAAAACAGAUUCAGAGAUUAAAUAUAAAAACAAAAGCCAGCUCUAUACUUUCUCUGUUAUUAAUAGAGUAAGCAGGUAGAAUAUCAAUAUCAAGUAAGCAGGAUAUCAAGGCUAUGGAUGACCUGGAGACAAACAACAAAUUUGUCCUAAUAAACAUUUAUAUAAUACUUUAUGCAAUAGCAGAACAUACAUUUUUACCCAUGUCAUAGGAAGAAUUAACCUUAGCAAUGUUAAAACCAUAGACUUUAACAAAUUUAAAAACUAGUACAAGUCAUAUAAAAUAUUUUAUUGGUUCAUAACAAAAUUAAACUAGAUACCAGUAACAGAAAUAUAUGUAAAAAUUCCUAAAUAUUUAGAAAUUUAUGAUGCAUUUCUAAGUGAGAUGAACAAAAACUAUUUUAGGCUACGUGAAAACAAGAAUGCAACUUAUCAAAAUUUUAAAUAUUCAUGUUAGAUGAUAAUUUAUAAUAUUAAAUGCAUUUGUUAGAAAAGAAGAAAUAUCUAAAUCAGUAAACUAAACUUUUGGAAAAUGAAAGUAAGAAGAGCAACUUAUAUCUAGAAUAAGCAGAAAGAACAGAAUAAUGAAUAUUAUAGCAGAAAACAAAAAAAUGGAAAGAGAAAACAACAUAGAAAAUAAUUGAAAGCAAAAGCUCAACGAUAGUUCUGUAGCCAGCCUAAGGAAGAAAAAAGAGGGAGAGGAAGAACACAAAUUGCCAAUAUCAGAAAUGAGAGAAAACCAUCACUACUGAUCCCACAGACACUAGAUGAAUAAUCCAGAAAUUUUGUGAAAUCACUAUAAGCUAAAUAAUUCCCAGAGCUCAAAAAUAAUUCCUGGUGUUAACAAGCCAGCAUGGAGCAGUCUCAUUGAACACUGGAGCUAUCCAUAGUAACACCAGAAAGAGGACUGAAAUAUAUGAAGAUUAAAAGCUAUUUUAGACCUGUCCUAAUAAAGCUUAAAACUGGCCUAAAUGUGAUAAAGCUGAUCUGAAAGUAAUUUAAGUGCCUUUCAUUUAAAAAGUAACAUUUUAUCCAGAAAAUCAUAAUGUAAGAUUAAUGAUAGGCAAUAGUCUUUCAAAAAAUAUGAGAUGCAAAGUAACAGAAGAGAAGGACCCACAAGCAAGUGAAAAAUCAGUCAUAAAAUCAGGCCUAAAAAAGAACUGAAUUCAUGGAAUUGGAAGAUAAAGAUGUCAAAAUAUUUUAAAUAAAUUACCUAAAGAGUCACGUAAACUUAGUGAAAAAAGAAAAAAAAAGCCCUUCUAAGGGGGUAAAAUGCAAUUAUCUGAAAUGAAAAAUUUAUUGGCUAUGCUUAAUGCCAGAUUAAAGAACUCCUAAGAAAAGAUCAGAAAAUGAACAGGGUGCAAUUUUACUCUGCUGCUCAGUUUUCCCAGCACCAUUUGUUGAGGAGACCAUUCUUUCCCCAUCCUAUAUUCUUGGCACUCUUGUGGAAAAGCAGUUGAUUGUAUAUACUUGGGUUUAUUUCUGGGUUCUCUAUUCUGUUCUAUUGGUUUAUAUGGGCCCCAUUUUUAUGUCAGUAGCAUACGGUUUUAAUUACUGUAGCACCAUAAUAUAUCUUUAAAUCAGGAAAUUCCAUGCCUCCAGCUUUGUUCCUCUUUCUCAAGAUAACUGGAUAUUUGGAAUCAUUUGUGUUUCCAUGUAAAUUUUAGAAUUGUUUUCCUAUUUGUGUAGAAAUGUCAUUAUUAUUUUGAUAUGGACUGCAUUGAAUUUGUACAACACUUCGGGUUUGGGGCAUUUUAGCAAUAGUAAACUCUCCAAUCCAUGAACACAGGGUGUCUUUCCAUUUAUUUGUGUCUUUUAAAUUUUCUUUUAUCAAUAAUUUAUAGUUUUUAAGGUAUAAGUCCUUCACUUUCUUGGUUAAGUUUGUUUCAAAGUAUUUUAUUCUUUUUGAUGUGAUACUAAAUAAAAUUAUUUUUUAAUUUCUUUUUGAGAUAGUUUGCUGUUAAUGUAUAGAAAGAAAACUGAUUUUUUAUAUUAAUAUUUUUAACCUGCAACUUGGCAGAACUAGUUUAUUAGUUCUAAAAGGGGUGUGUGUGUGUGUGUGUGUGUGUGUGUUUAGUCCGUAGGAUUUUCUGUUUAGAAGACCAAGUCAUCUGCAAGCAGAGAUAAUUGUACUUAUUCCUUUCCAGUUUUGAUGUCAUUUAUCACUUUUUUUCUAAUUGUUUUGGUUGACUUCCAGCACUAAAUUAAAUAGAGGUGGUAAGAAUGGGCAUCACCAUAUCCAAAAUCACCUCAGAAUGGAUUAAAGAAUUAUACAUAAGACCUAACACUGUAAAGAGGUAUCUGUGUAUUCACAUUAAUUGCACUGUUAUUCACAGUAGCCAAGAUAUGGAAAUAACUUAAAUGUCUGUGGACAGAUGGAUGAUUAAUAAAAAUAUGAUAUAUACAGACAAUAGAAUAUUUUCAGACUUUUAAAUGAAGGAAAGCCUGCCAUUUG
rnacentral:lncRNA from 10 species